rnacentral:rRNA from 1 species
GUGGGGAAUAUUGGGCAAUGGGCGAAAGCCUGACCCAGCAACGCCGCGUGAGGGAAGAAGGUUUUCGGAUCGUAAACCUCUGUCCUUAGUGAAGAGAAAGAGACGGUAGCUAAGGAGGAAGCCCCGGCUAACUACGUGCCAGCAGCCGCGGUAAUACGUAGGGGGCGAGCGUUGUCCGGAAUGAUUGGGCGUAAAGGGCGCGUAGGCGGCCUGUUAAGUCCGGAGUGAAAUUCCUGCUUUCAAGGUAGGAAGUGCUUUGGAAACUGGCGGGCUGGAGUGCAGGAGAGGUUAGCGGAAUUCCCGGUGUAGCGGUGAAAUGCGUAGAGAUCGGGAGGAACACCAGUGGCGAAGGCGGCUAACUGGACUGUAACUGACGCUGAGGCGCGAAAGUGUGGGGAGCAAACAGGAUUAGAAACCCGGGUAGUCC